rnacentral:misc_RNA from 1 species
GCAAACUUGGUCAUUUAGAGGAAGUAAAAGUCGUAACAAGGUCUCCGUAGGUGAACCUGCGGAGGGAUCAUUAACGAACGGUCGUCAGACCUUCAAACCCUUCAAACCACGUGGAAAUAUAUUGUGCUUCGGCGCUACGGCGCCGCUUUUAUACAGAAACAAAGCCUGUGUCUGAGCUGAAAGCGGAAGCGAAAAAACUUUCAACAAAGGAUCUCUUGGCUCUCGCAUCGAUGAAGAACGCAGC